CAUCUGGAGCACAGUGGCAGUAGUGAUUUCCAUAGGCACAUGUUGGUGUUUAUACAGUUGUGUAACAGAGAACCCUAGCCCUGUCACCAGAAAGCAGAUCCGCCCCUUUAAGGCCAGAACUUCCUGGGCAUGGAGUGCUGGUGAAGAAAGGGUUAAAUGCUGAGCCUGGCCAGCUAGUCAGCUGACUGGAAGGGGCAGGACUAUAAAAACCCUGGGCAGAACAGCAGUAAGGGGAACAGCAGUUGAAGAGAAAGGAGUGCCUCUGAGAGCUCUACAGAGAAGCUGGGCCCAGGCACCAAAAGAAGAAGCACCCCGGGGAAUACCCUCCACAGCAGAGUGGCAGACGGUCACAGCCAGGACUGGAGCAGCAUGCAGCGAACCGGUACCAGCUUCUCCAGUCCGACUGGUGAACAGAUCAAGAGUUCCACGAUGACCCAGAGGAGGAGGCGACGAGUGCUCGUCAUAGGAGACUCCAUCCUGAGAGGUACGGAAGGACCCAUCUGUCGCCAGGACCCCUCGGCACGAGAGGUAUGCUGCCUCCCUGGAGCAAAGAUUCGGGAUGUGACGGAGGUAAUCCAGGCCAGGAUCAAGCCCACCGAUUUACUACCCCAUGGUCCUAGUCCAUGUGGGUACUAAUGAUGCAGCCAGGAGAACCCCCGAUCACCUGAUGGCGGACUACUAUGCUCUGGGUGGCGUGCUGAAGGAGUUCGGUGCCCAGGUGGUUUUCUCUUCCAUCCUUCCAGUGACCGGACGAGGAAGACGGCAAGAGAACUGCAUCGGAGAGACCAACUGGCGGCUUCAGCAGUGGUGUCUCGAGACAGGCUUCGGCUUCCUGGACCAUGACCCGCACAUCACGACGAGGGACGUGUUCAGCUGGGAUGGGCUUCACCUGUCCCCCAAAGGUAAGCGUGUGUUUUCUUCUAGGUUGCGGAUCUCCUCCGGCGGGCUUUAAACUAGGCUCGUCGGGGGGAGGGGAGUACGAGGGCAGGGGAAGCAGUGGACCACCAAACCAUGUGGCACCCACAAUGACAGCCCAGCCUGAAGAAGGAGAGCAUUGGGAACCUGAAAGCCAUGGGGAGGCCAGCACUACAGAACAGGUAAGGAACAAGAAGGUAGGAAACAAUGGGCCCCAUGGGACUCUGAGCGGGGAGGGCAGCAAAGGCACCAGUCGCAGGGCUCAAGUGCCUAUAUACUAAUGCUAGGAGCAUGGGGAACAAGCAGGAUGAACUAGCGCUCCUGCUUGCACUGAACACCUAUGACUUAGUGGGGCUAACAGAGACCUGGUGGGAUUCAUCCCAUGACUGGGCGGUACAUAUUGAGGGCUAUAGAUUGUAUAGAAAGGACAGGUCGGGGAAGAAAGGGGGGGGGUUGCACUUUAUGUCAGUGAGCAAUAUACAUCAACCCUCAUCAAGACAGAAUCCGAGGUUGAGAAAGUAGAAGGAUUGUGGGUUAGGCUACAUGG